GUUGUUUGUUGCCGAACACUGAUAGGUGGUUGCAUCGCUGAGAGCUACGUUUGUAAUUGUCAAAUUAGGAUUACUAACGGUGGAUCCAAAGUACCGGACAUUAUCAAUGGCCACUCGACUGUACACGCCAUUGACGAAUCUGCUCCAGGAGACCCUCGUCGCGGGCGGCAAUGCUGACACGAUUCUACACCCUAACGUCACUGCCUGCCCUACUUCAAUAGUGUAACUGGUAUUCAGAAUCCGAAGGAUUGGAAUUUCUGGAGAGAACACAAAAUAUUUUACUACAGUAUCAUUUCUACACAGAAAUUAUGCCUCUUGCUUUUUGUGUAGGCAACAAUUAAUUUAUUUCGAGGCUCUUAUCAUUGCUUACGUUGGACAGAGAUGAGAACGUUAGUCGAUUUUGUGAUGUUUGGUACGGAUCCCCCUGGCGCUGUGAGUUGGGUCGUCACACAGAACAGUAUAUUCCCGUUAUCAGCAGUGAUGGGGGUCCAGCUCAGCACGCUCACUUUGGUCAAUGUGCUAUCCGAAUUCGUAGUCGUGCUCUCUGAGAUCCGAAACGUUCGACCUGACACUCCCUGUGAAAGAUCUUGAGAAGUUCCGAAAGACGUUCCAAGUCUCCAUACUAUGUUUACCACUGGGUAGCCGUUAGCAGCAGUGCAUGUGUGGUUGUAAUUUUUAUUUGCAUCAAGCGCUGUUGCAGCAGUUGGACCACUGAUGAUGGGGUUAUCCGCUGGAACUGUAACGUAAAAAGUAAUCUUAGGUAACGUCAACCGUUAAUGGGUUUGUGCACUACAGUAAAGUGUUCUUCUUUAAUUAAUUGAUUUUACUCAAUACGUGUACAUAGAUGUGUUAUUACAAAUGGUAUAUACAACUAUUUACCGUAUACUUCUAUCCUCAGCGAGCGCGUGAGUUCAGAUGUCAGUAAGGAACUGUUGACCUUGCAGAUAUAAGAUACGGCAUUAUCCGACCUUGACACUUGGAAAGUAUAGUUGUUAUAGGUGGCGGUGGUGGAGCCUACCGUGAACACACCGUCUCCAUUUCCGUUUGGACUGCUUCCGGGGUCCACCAGCUGAGUAUUUUUGUACCACCGAACGGUGGGCAGGGGGUUACCUCCGUACGACGUACAUGUCAAGGUCACAGUAUCGCCCUCGUUUUUGGCAUCGAUUAUGCUGAGUAUUGGAUUUCCAGGAAGGGCUAUUCACGCAAAAAAAAAUUACGUAUACCCCAUAAUUUAUCACAACUCUGUUUAAAUUAAUGUCAACAAACCUUUUUAAAAAUAACGAAUAUUUUAAAAUGCCAAAAUUGUUACUAUAUAGAUUUUGUAAAAGGGACUCUUAAAAAUGGUAGUGUCGAGUGAAAAAAAAUAUUUAAAAAUUUCAGCCUUACAUGUUUGAGUGCGAAUCUCUGGAAACAACGAAACGAAUACAAUGAACAGAGUGAGGCGUAGUGAGAAACCCUGUCUGACGGCCACUGUCCCGAUCCUGUCGAAACUAAUUGAAAUCAUUUUCACCAUCUACAGAGUGCUCCGAGUCGUUUCAUUCCUGUAUAAAUAAGUAAAAAUAUGUUUUAAAAUUCAUGGUUUUCUUGCAUGGGGAACUUCUAUAUGCUUCUUAUCGUUGUGAUUUUGUUAGAUAAGUAUGCCUACAUUUUGUAAAAAAAAAUUUACAUGUCGACAA
rnacentral:sRNA from 1 species